rnacentral:lncRNA from 11 species
AUGCCUUGGUUGCCCUCUGUUGAAUCCUUUUCAUCCCUGCAAUUCAGGGAUCCUUUGAAAAGGAAAGAAAGAGAGAUUUUGAACCACUUGGGGAGGAGGAGCAGUUCCUUCAAAGUCAGGAAAAAAUAUUGGAUGUGGAUCCCAAAUGGAACUUUGAAAAAGGAGAUGGAGGGCCUGAUUCUUGCAGCCCAAGAACAAGCAAUUAGAUCAAAUGCCAUCAAAGCCAGAAUUGAAAAGACAACUACGAUUCCAAGUGUAGACUCUGCAAAGACUGCUUUGGAUCACAUCCUCAGCUUCUGCAAGAAGACCGUGCAGACAGACUAUAAACAGAGGUAUAAUACUGUUGCUCAGAUGAUCCACUGGAACUUGUGCCACAAAUACCAUCUGCCUGUGACAAAAAACUGGUGGAAUCACAAGCCUGAAAAUGUUACACAAAAUGAACACGUCAAAAUACUCUGGGAUUUCUGAAUUCAGACUGACAGAGUUUUGGAGCACAUUACUCCUGAUCUUAUGAUUGUGGGGAAAAAAAUGAAGUAUGGAUUGUCGAAGUUGCAAUCCCAGGUGACAGCAGAAUUGAGGAGAAGCAACUGGAAAAGCUUACACGAUAUGAGGAUUUAAAGAUAGAACUGCAAAGACCACGGCACAAGCCAGUAAAGGUGGUCCCAGUGGUGAUCCCAGUGCCGAAAGACCUUGGCCUGUACUUAACAACAAUCCGCGCUGAAAAAACAACCAUCUGUCAGCUGCAAAAGGCCACCCUACUCGGAUCUGUAAGCAUUAUUCGCCGAUACAUCACACUGUCUUGGACACUUGGGAAGUGUCUGACAUGUGAUUGAAUACAAAAGCCAGCAUAGUGAUCUUGCUUGCUGUGUACUAAUCUUGUUGUGUAUCAAAUAAUGAUAAUAACAAUUUAUUUGUUAUGAGCCUCAUUGCAUGGCUUGACACAGUUAAAAGACAUCACCGUAAAAUACUGUGAUGUGCUCUGAUUAAAAAGGAGGCAUUCAGUAUCACAAACUUGCUGAAAUACACAGGGACUCAAAGCCAGAUUUCUAAGAGGCAAACCCUUAAAGCUCUCUGCGUGCAGAGAGGAAUCUCUAAGUUCUGCUUCUUCCCAAAUUUUAAUUUAUAAAUUAUCAAUUAGGAAUUGUUUGUCAUUACUUGGUGCCAAGUGGGGUUUGCCUUAUGGAGACCCUGAAAACCAGAGUCCAGAAUCAAAUAUUUGUAAUAUCUUCUGUUCCUACUGCCUUCCAUUUUACUGAUUGUUGUCAUGCUUUGUAAUUAAUCUUGUUGUCUCAUGAUGUGUCCAAUGUAUAAUAGCCCCAAUUUAGACAUUUUGCCUUUAGGGAGGGCUCCGGCUUGAUUUUCGCUAGGAUCCAUUUAUUGGUCUUUUUCACAGUCUAUUAUGCCUGGAAUACUCCUCUCCAGCACAACAUGUCAAAUGAAUUGAUUUUCUUCCUGUCAGCUUUAUUUACUGUCUAGCUUUCACAGCCACACGCGGAAACUGGAAAUGCUAUGUCAGAUAUGAUUCUGAUGUUGGUGUUGGAUAAUACAUCUGUGUCCUUGACGAUGUUAUCUAAUUUCUUAUAGUCUCCAUUUUGGUUAAUGACUGAGCCAAAGUAUAGGAAAUCUUUAAUGUAUUUCAGUGUCCUCAUUGCUCACUGUGAAUUUGCAGAUGUUGAUCAAAUCUUAUCAAAUAUGAACUGAAAUGAAAUUCUUACGCUUCCCAUAUUACCUUCAGAUCAUGCCUGCAAGAAGUUGCCAUUAUUUUGUAAUAUGACAAGCUAAUAUUAAGCAGACACAUCUCAUAAAGUACUAUGCAGAACCAUUUUGUCAUCCCCCCGCCCCCCCAUCCUGGUUGCACCAGAAGUCAGUAAUUCAUGCCUUUGGGCUAUUUCUUUGCAACUCAUUUCAAAGGCAUCUCUUCUUACUGACUUGGAAGAAAUUCAUCUGAAUCCCAUUAAGUCAGCAGAAACCCUUUUCUCCGUCCCACUGGGUCUCCAAAGAGGUCAUGAACCCUAUCUGUUUGUUCCAUUUCUUCCCCUCAUCAGGUGGCAAUUUUGUUCAAUGAUUUAUUAUAAGCCACAUGCAUUUAUCCAGCAUGACAUUUCAAUCAUGCAAAUAAGGAUUUUGCUAAUGAAUUGGAAAUUAAUUUGGCGUCUGCCGCUGUGUACACAUUGACAGUUUUGCUAAUGUUAUUACACUUGUAAUAUGGUCAGUGGCUUCUUCGUAAUUGCUAUAAAGUGUUGCAUUUAACACUUAGAAUAAAGGUUACAUCAAAGGAAAAAAAACCCACCCAGAAUGUUUCCUAAUUUUGUUUUCUUGGAUCUUGUUUACAUCUUGCAACAAGAUGGCAACAAAUAAAUGGGGAUGAAAGCAUUCCAGAUAGUCUGCUGCUAGGUGGUAGAUAUGAAGUUGUGAAUGCUCAGCAAAAAAUUAUUAUCUGGAGUGAGCUUCAACUUUGUGAGGCUAUCAAUAUGAACAGAGAUACUCUCAGGUAUUUAUCAGCAACAAAGCUGUUCCUAUCAUUAGGCCAAGUGAAGUGACUUCCUUUGGAAGAAGAUACUUGGGA